rnacentral:rRNA from 1 species
AACGAACGCUGGCGGCAUGCCUAACACAUGCAAGUCGAACGAGAUCUUCGGGUCUAGUGGCGCACGGGUGCGUAACGCGUGGGAAUCUGCCCUUUGGUUCGGAAUAACAGUUGGAAGCGACUGCUAAUACCGGAUGAUGACGAAAGUCCAAAGAUUUAUCGCCAGAGGAUGAGCCCGCGUAGGAUUAGCUAGUUGGUGUGGUAAAGGCGCACCAAGGCGACGAUCCUUAGCUGGUCUGAGAGGAUGAUCAGCCACACUGGGACGGAGACACGGCCCAGACCCCUACGGGAGGCAGCAGUGGGGAAUAUUGGACAAUGGGCGAAAGCCUGAUCCAGCAAUGCCGCGUGAGUGAUGAAGGCCUUAGGGUUGUAAAGCUCUUUUACCCGGGAUGAUAAUGACGGUACCGGGAGAAUAAGCUCCGGCUAACUCCGUGCCAGCCGCCGCGGUAA